GUACCAGUGUUGUAGGACUAAGUGCCGACUCCAUGAGGAGCUGCUUCAAUCGAAAGUCCCGCUCCCUCUUCAUCCUUGGUUUAAAGGACUUGCAAAUGCGGCACUUAUCAGGAAGGUGGGAUUCCCCAUGGCACUUGAGGCAGGAGUCGUGGGGAUCCCCUAUUGGCAUUGGCUUUUGGCACGCUGAGCACGGUGUGAAUCCCGGUGCCUUGGGCAUGGGCCCGCACCGAGGUGGAGGAAAGGGGCUAA